rnacentral:rRNA from 1 species
CAGGCCUAACACAUGCAAGUCGAACGAGACCUUCGGGUCUAGUGGCGCACGGGUGCGUAACGCGUGGGAAUCUGCCCUUGGGUUCGGAAUAACAGCGAGAAAUUGCUGCUAAUACCGGAUGAUGACGUAAGUCCAAAGAUUUAUCGCCCAGGGAUGAGCCCGCGUAGGAUUAGCUAGUUGGUGAGGUAAAGGCUCACCAAGGCGACGAUCCUUAGCUGGUCUGAGAGGAUGAUCAGCCACACUGGGACUGAGACACGGCCCAGACUCCUACGGGAGGCAGCAGUGGGGAAUAUUGGACAAUGGGCGAAAGCCUGAUCCAGCAAUGCCGCGUGAGUGAUGAAGGCCUUAGGGUUGUAAAGCUGUUUUACCCGGGAUGAUAAUGACAGUACCGGGAGAAUAAGCUCCGGCUAACUCCGUGCCAGCAGCCGCGGUAG